rnacentral:rRNA from 1 species
CGCAUGAAUGGAUGAACGAGAUUCCCACUGUCCCUACCUACUAUCCAGCGAAACCACAGCCAAGGGAACGGGCUUGGCGGAAUCAGCGGGGAAAGAAGACCCUGUUGAGCUUGACUCUAGUCUGGCACGGUGAAGAGACAUGAGAGGUGUAGAAUAAGUGGGAGGCCCCCGGCGCCCCCCCGGUGUCCCCGCGAGGGGCCCGGGGCGGGGUCCGCCGGCCCUGCGGGCCGCCGGUGAAAUACCACUACUCUGAUCGUUUUUUCACUGACCCGGUGAGGCGGGGGGGCGAGCCCCGAGGGGCUCUCGCUUCUGGCGCCAAGCGCCCGGCCGCGCGCCGGCCGGGCGCGACCCGCUCCGGGGACAGUGCCAGGUGGGGAGUUUGACUGGGGCGGUACACCUGUCAAACGGUAACGCAGGUGUCCUAAGGCGAGCUCAGGGAGGACAGAAACCUCCCGUGGAGCAGAAGGGCAAAAGCUCGCUUGAUCUUGAUUUUCAGUACGAAUACAGACCGUGAAAGCGGGG